UCCCUGGUGGCUCAGAUGGUAAAAACGUCUGUCUGCAAUACAGGAGACCUGGGUUUGAUCCCUGGUAGGGAA
rnacentral:tRNA from 1 species